CAGGGUAUUAGGAAUUCUUAUGUUCUGCAUCAAACACAGCAACGCCCGGACAGGACGUCCGGGCGAGGAGCACCCGCGGCAUGGACGCCGCGUGUACUCCGGUUGCGUCAGCUUGUGAAAACUGUUUGCAGAACAUUAGAAUUCCUUAUGCCCGAAG
rnacentral:ncRNA from 1 species